AAGAAACUGCGGGAGUUGAAUUUACAAAAGAUUUCAUUCACUUCAACAACUCUAUAGCAACUGUUUUCUCUUCUUCUUUCUCUUUUUAUUCUCUUUUUUUCUUUUUCAGAAGGAGUAUGUAUUGACAUGUAUUGACAUCCUUCUAUUUUUUUUAUUCAUUUUUUUCUUUUUCUAUUUUUUUUUCCUACCAACUUCUGAAAUAUUACAAACAUAAUUAUUCAAUCUCACACAACUUCAAACAAGACUCUUUCAACCCUUUGAAUAAGGUGAUAACAUUGUUUUUCACUUCUCGGUUUAUAAUGAGUUUUAAACAAAAAAAUGGAUAAUAGGCUCAAGGGGGUUUCAAACAAAUGAUGAUAUUAUUCAGGGCUGACUUUUUGGCUAAUGGCUGGAGAGAAAAAAAACAAGUUGCCUUUAUCAUAUCAAUGUGUAUAAGUAAACAAAAAGUUUCAACAAGACUCUUUCAACC
rnacentral:lncRNA from 1 species